ensembl:lncRNA
UAAUUACCUAUCAAUAAAUUUAGCAUUCUUUUAAUACAUCAAUCUAUGACAAUAGAUUACUAGAUACUAGAUAAUUCUCAUCAUAAGGUUUUGAAAAUUAGCAAAACAUUUCCCGCAAAAAGAGUUUCAUGGAAGCAGCCAUUUAAAAAUCAGCAGGAAAAGGGCUUCUACUGCCUCUAGUGGGUAGAAGAUGAACUACAGGGCAGAAAUCAAGAAACAAUUACAUCCAGUGGGUUUUUUAAGGAAAGGUUGGAUCAUGCUAAUGAGGUAGAGGUCUCAAAAAUGUAUCAAAUAGUAUUUGAUGGUAUUACCUUCAUAAUAAUUACUUAAUGCAAAGCUGAUAAACGGGACUAGAAAAGACGACACUGAGCGGACAUUGGGGAUUUUUUUUCUCUCUCUCAUUUUUAAAGUCUUAAAAAUAUUUCACUAACUUCUAUAUUACUUCACAAAACUCAUUCAGGGGUAAAUGUUUGGAGACCAAGAAAUUUAGAGAAAUAAUGAAAAAGAGAGAAAACGUCAUACAGCAUGAAAAACAAAGGACAAAAACGAAGACAGGGUUGGAGUUUAACCAGUAACAUGUAAUCAGUCCAUUAUACUAAACAAAGAGAAUUACAACAUUUAUUUCUUGGAAAAACAAAAACUGGUAGUCUUGAACUUUUCAGAGUUCAUGCAUUUAUACACGUUUUGGGUUUAGAGAGGUCUCCACUGUGGGACUGGAUGGGUCUCUGUUUCUGACUGCUGGUGAGUAUAUUUUAAUGUUUCGAGACAACUGCACAUCUGACACACGCUGAACCCAUAACUUCUCACAGGGCAGAUGCUUGGCUGCGGCCCAGCGUUUCUUUGGCAGGCUACCACGGAAACAGCAGCGUUGUGUAAGCGGUGUAAAAACCCAUCAGGCGUUUCCUGCCACUGGGCAUCUACAACGCAACCAAUAGAAUCAGACCAACCUGCAGACCAACAGUCAGAAGAUCUGAUAGAAAAAUGCCUGUAUGCGUCUGCUCUGAGUCAUCUAAGCCACCAGGAGGUCUACAGAGAAAACACUUCAUUGUUGGGGAGUGUGGGAGCGGAGAGGUCUGGGAGAUCACGACCUUAAUUCUCCCCAAGACAGAGGGUUUAAUUAAGACUGAAGGAUUCCUCACUGACUCCAGACCUCUACAAUAAAACUUUAAUAGGGACAUGGAUUGCACAGGUGAGGCACUGCUUUACUGUUUGGCAAUAUACACUAAUAAGCUUUUUCAUUACAGUAACACUGUUUCCUUCAUGAUCUCAUUAUAGGUUGUUACAGGUUUAAAACAUGAAACUGAUAUACAAAGAAUUUAGGGGAGUUUUAGAAAGAGAAACACUGCUAUUUUAUUUGACUUUGGUUUUGUUUGAUAAAAAGCAUAAAAUAUUAGAUCACUGUUACAACAGCUUUUAAUAUCUAUACGGACAGGUUUCUUACAGUGACAGAUGACAAGCCAGUUGCAACAGUUCAAAACGGUGCUAAUUCAGUUACAUCUUGGCUGUUUACACUUUAAAGCUGGAUAUGCUGACUGGUUCAUUCAUAAACCUGCCGAGCAACUCUGGAGAACUCUGGAAAAAAGAAGACGGAGUCAUCAAAGUGGGAGAGAAGCCCACGCUGCCAAACCAGAUGCACAGAGGCUUUCUCGCUGUCUGUUCUGUGCUCACUGACAUAUCCGAGCUAGAACUGAGUAUAACCCUUUUGCUAUCCUGUGUCUUGGAGGCACAUCAACAUUGGGAGUUGGGUCAUCUGGACCCCACAUGAUAGUGCGCUGAACCUUUUUUCUUCAAUUAUUUGUGAUCUGUACUGGUGUCCAUGGAUUACAUGAAAUCCUCUCCACCUUUAGCCACCUUUGUUAUGGUAGGGAGAACACGUCAAUGUUAGGAUCGGGUCAUCUGGACCCCACAAGAUAGCAGAAGGGAUAAAGGAACACCAAAAAGCCUUACUUAAAACAAAAAAAAAAGAACAACAGCACGCCUUAUUUUAUAACUGGAUGAAUUAAGGUUAUGUUGAAGCAAUUUUGAAAGGCACACGGCAAUGCGUGGAAAUGUCUGUUUCUUGUGUGAUACAAGCAAGGUUGGGUAUUAGCAUGAGUACGUUAACGCUAACAGUGCCAGACUGUUUUUUUUUUUUACAUUGUCUUCAGUCUAGUCAAAGUGAAUUUUAUUUUAGCUGAAUCGGUCUGUUUUUUUUACAUGUUGCUUUAACAUGUUGUUUUAGAGUCACAGGAGUUGUAAAUAUACGCUGUCACGGCUAACGUGUAACGGUUCCAGACUGGUUUUCUUUUUACAUGUUACCAACAAGGUUGGGAGUUUGUGUCGUCACAGCAACGUGUUGUUUAGCUGUAUUGGUCUGUUUUUUUCACUUGUUGCAAACAAGAUUAU